CCCUUAGAUGUUCUGGGCCGCACGCGCGCUACACAGAUGCAUUCAACAAGCCUAGCCUUGACCGAGAGGUCCGGGUAAUCUUUGAAACUGCAUCGUGAUGGGGCUAGAUUAUUGCAAUUAUUAAUCUUCAACGAGGAAUACCUAGUAAGCGUGAUUCAUCAAAUCGCGUUGAUUACGUCCCUGCCCUUUGUACACACCGCCCGUCGCUCCUACCGAUUGAAUGUGUUGGUGAGGAGCUCGGAUUGGCAGCAGUUGGUGGUUCGCCACCGGCUAUUGCUGAGAAGUCCUCCAAACCGCCCCAUUUAGAGGAAGGAGAAGUCGUAACA
rnacentral:rRNA from 1 species